rnacentral:rRNA from 1 species
GAUGAACGCUGGCGGCGUGCCUAAUACAUGCAAGUCGAGCGGACGGACGAUGCUCUUGCUUCUCUCCUGUUAGCGGCGCACGUGUGAGUCACACGUGUAUCACCUACCUAUCUUUCUGGUAUCACUUCGAGACACCGUCUCUUAUCCCAGAUAAUCUUUUGCUCCACAGUGUUCAUAAGAGAAUUACGGUCUUUCUGUCACUUCUCGCUGCUUCCGCGCUGCAUUAGCUAGUAGGUAAGGUAACGGCUUACCAAGGCAACGAUGCAUAGACGACCUGCCGGGGUGGUAGGCGACACUGGAACUGAGACACGGUCAAGACUACUACGGGAGGCAGCAGUAGGGAAUGGGACGCAAUGGGCGAGAGCCUGACGGAGCGACGGCGCGUGAGAGAUGAAGGUCUUCGGAUCGUGAAACCGUGUUAUGAGGGAAGAACAGAUGUGUAAGGAACUGUGCAGAGCGUGACGGUACCGAAUAAGAAAGCAACGGCUAACUACGUG